rnacentral:rRNA from 1 species
AUACGGAGGGUGCAAGCGUUACUCGGAAUCACUGGGCGUAAAGCGCGCGCAGGCGGUCUUUUAAGUUGGAUGUGAAAGCCUACGGCUCAACCGUAGAACUGCAUCCAAAACUAUUAGACUAGAGUGUGCGAGAGGAAGAUGGAAUUAGUUGUGUAGGGGUAAAAUCCGUAGAGAUAACUAGGAAUACCAAAAGCGAAGGCAAUCUUCUGGAACACUACUGACGCUGAGGCGCGAAAGCGUGGGGAGCAAACAGAAUUAGAAACCCUAGUAGUCC